CUUCACCCCAUCCCAGUUCAGGGCAGUGAAGUGGCCUUGCAACCUUUCCUCAGCUGUGCUAACGUUGUGCUGGGGGAGUUGAGCAGGAUCAAUGAACGUGCUUUCGCUGCACAAUCAAGUGAUUCAUAUCCGAAACUGAAUGGUGGCCUGGUACAGAUGAUGGUUGCUCCAGGUAUCGAGGUGGCACUGUAGCCACAAAGAAGUCUCCUUUCAGGACACUGCAGAUCCGUUCACCAUAACCUUGCCUGAAAUCACUAGCCGAGAUGAUCCGAUGCAUUGUGCCUGGGAGAGAGCCCGAAUAGGAAGAGGUGGCUCGACACUCAGAUAGCACCCAAGAGCAAGGUAAAACUGCAUCUGACCAAGACAGAGAUUAAGAAGCAGUCUGUCAUGGCAAAAUAGUACUCCUGCUGGAGCUGGUGAUUAUGAAGUGUUGUGAAUCCACACAGAAACCAUCA